rnacentral:rRNA from 1 species
AGUGAACGCUGGCGGCAGGCCUAACACAUGCAAGUCGAGCGGCAGCGCGGGGGCAACCCUGGCGGCGAGCGGCGGACGGGUGAGGAAUUCGUCGGAAUCUGCCUUUUUGUGGGGGAUAACGUAGGGAAACUUACGCUAAUACCGCAUACGUCCUACGGGAGAAAGUGGGGGACCGCAAGGCCUCACGCAGAAAGAUGAGCCGACGACCGAUUAGCUAGUUGGUGGGGUAAAGGCCCACCAAGGCGACAAUCGGUAGCUGGUCUGAGAGGAUGAUCAGCCACACUGGGACUGAGACACGGCCCAGACUCCUACGGGAGGCAGCAGUGGGGAAUAUUGGACAAUGGGCGCAAGCCUGAUCCAGCCAUGCCGCGUGUGUGAAGAAGGCCUUCGGGUUGUAAAGCACUUUUGUCCGGAAAGAAAUCCCUGGAGCUAAUACCUUCGGGGGAUGACGGUACCGGAAGAAUAAGCACCGGCUAACUUCGUG